rnacentral:rRNA from 1 species
GGAAUUGUUCGCAAUGGGCGCAAGCCUGACGACGCAACGCCGCGUGGAGGAUGAUGACCUUCGGGUCGUAAACUCCUUUCGACCGAGAUGAACAACCACCGACCUAAUACGUCGUUGGACUGACAGUAUCGAGGGAAGAAGCCCCGGCUAACUCCGUGCCAGCAGCCGCGGUAAUACGGGGGGAGCAAGCGUUGUUCGGAUUUACUGGGCGAAAAGGGCGCGUAGGCGGCCUCCGCAAGUCAGUUGUGAAAACUCCGAGGUUAACUCGGAAAGGUCAACUGAGACUGCGGGGCUAGAGUGCGGAAGGGGCAACUGGAAUUCUUGGUGUAGCGGUGAAAUGCGUAGAUAUCAAGAGGAAAACCUGCGGCGAAGGCGGGUUGCUGGGCCGACACUGACGCUGAGGCGCGAAAGCUAGGGGAGCGAAC